AGAAAAGAAAAAACAGGAAAGGGAGAAGAAUACACAGACACAGAAUACAUGCGUUGUAAAUGCCAGUUGUGUGAAAACAAAAUUGGUGUAAUAUGUAGCUGGAUAUAGUCAGGCUGGCAUAAAGAAUCAAAAAGACUUUCCUGGAAGUUUAAUCAUGUUGCAACAUAACAAAAAGAGAACAACUGGAAAGUCAGUUGUCAAAAAUAAGAUGGCUUCAAGCUCUGCAAAAACACAGGGAAAGUACAAAUGGGCAUGCAAAUGGAUGCUUCUGAUGCCUUGACCAUGUCCUGUGGGUCCAGGAGCCCUUCUUUCCUGACUGUUGAUCCUGCUCCGUUAUCAAGUUGACUCUUUUUGCCUCAUUUCACCCUACUUCCCCUAACCUUCCUCGUUUUGUUGGUAUUUGUCAUGAUCACCUUUGUCACCUUUUCUAACCCAAAGUAUGUUUGCAUUUUGGCUAGGAGAGGAAGAAUAAACUGUUGCCUGUGAUAGUAAUAAGGGUUUAAUUAAUAAAGAAAUAAAUCUGUGGUUCAGCU
rnacentral:lncRNA from 1 species